GUCCAGACUCCUACGGGAGGCAGCAGUGGGGGAUAUUGCACAAUGGGGGGAACCCUGAUGCAGCGACGCCGCGUGGGUGAAGGAGUAUUUCGGUAUGUAAAGCCCUAUCGGCAGGGAAGAAGCAAGACGGUACCUGACUAAGAAGCCCCGACUAACUACGUGCCAGCAGCCGCGGUAAUACGUAGGGGGCGAGCGUUAUCCGGAUUCACUGGGUGUAAAGGGAGCGUAGACGGCAGCGCAAGUCUGAAGUGAAAUGCCGGGGCUUAGCCCCGGAACUGCUUUGGAAACUGAGCAGCUAGAGUGCAGGAGAGGUAAGUGGAAUUCCUAGUGUAGCGGUGAAAUGCGUAGAUAUUAGGAGGAACACCAGUGGCGAAGGCGGCUUACUGGACUGUAACUGACGUUGAGGCUCGAAAGCGUGGGGAGCAAACAGGAUUAGAUACCCCCGUA
rnacentral:rRNA from 1 species